rnacentral:misc_RNA from 1 species
GUAGGGCUUCGGCCCUGUCGAGAUAGAACCCUUGCCUUUAUGAGUACCGUCCGUUUCCUCGGCAGGUCCGCCUGCCGAUGGACCCAAAACCAAACCCUUUUAUUACCUGUAUCAGUCUGAAAAAUAAACAAAAAUUAAAACUUUCAACAACGGAUCUCUUGGUUCU